rnacentral:rRNA from 1 species
CCUACGGGUGGCAGCAGUGGGGAAUAUUGCACAAUGGGGGAAACCCUGAUGCAGCGACGCCGCGUGAGUGAAGAAGUCUCUCGGUAUGUAAAGCUCUAUUAGUAGGGAAGUAAAUGACGGUACGUGUUUAAGAAGCCCCGUCUAACACCGUGCCAGCAGCGGCGGCAAUAUGGAGGGGGCAACCGUUAUCCGGAUUUACUGGGUGUAAAGGGAGCGUAGUGGGUUUGGUAAGUCUGGAGUGAAAGCCCGGGGCCCAACCCCGGGACUGCUUUGGAAACUGUGUGACUGGAGUACAGGAGGGGCAGGCGGAAUUCCUGGUGUAGCGGUGAAAUGCGUAGAUAUCAGGAGGAACACCGACGGCGAAGGCAGCCUACUGGACUGAAACUGACGUUGAGGCUCGAAAGCGUGGGGAGCAAACAGGAUUAGAUACCCGAGUAGUC